rnacentral:rRNA from 1 species
UGCAAGUCGCACGAGAAACUAAUUAGCUUGCUAAGAGGUGGACAGUGGCGCAAGGGAGAGUAACGCGUGGUUACUUGCCCUCGAGACCGGGAUAGUGUCGGGAAACUGGCAGUAAUACCGGAUAACAUCUUCGGAUCAAAUGGUGUGAUUCCGCUCGAGGAUAGGACCGCGUACUAUUAGCUUGUUGGUGAGGUAACGGCUCACCAAGGCUGCGAUGGUUACCGGGUGUGAGAGCAUGGCCCGGCUCACUGGGACUGAGACACUGCCCAGACACCUACGGGUGGCUGCAGUCGAGAAUCUUCGGCAAUGGACGAAAGUCUGACCGAGCGACGCCGCGUGCGGGAUGAAGGCCCUCGGGUUGUAAACCGCUGUCAGUAGUUAGGAAAUCCAUGAGGGUUAUCUCUCAUGGUUGACCGAUCUUCAGAGGAAGGACGGGCUAAGUUCGUGCCAGCAGCCGCGGUAAGACGAACCGUCCAAACGUUAUUCGGUAUCACUGGGCUUAAAGCGUGCG